rnacentral:piRNA from 1 species
UGGAGCAGCAUAUUGUAUGGGACGUAUG